CAGAUCCAAAUUGAGUGAUUCAAAGUUCCACAGAUAGGUAUUGAAAAGAUCUACAACUUGGCGCUGGUCUCAUCCUCAAAUUCUUUACGGAGUUUGCAUGAUCAAGAUCUGGUCAGAUCUGACUUUGUCGAAUUAAACCAGGAGCUUGGAAACGAAUUUUUGAAUGAAACCAGUUGGGGGAUAUUUGGUUUAUACCAUGGUGAUAACCGAGAGAGGCAAUUGCUAAGUUGUGAUGCACUCAUACCUUUACUAGAUGCGAACAAUUCCGGAGAAGAAGAAGAAGUGGAAUCGGAUGAGAAGAUUAUUUAUAUUGUUGGAAUUCUUAUAUUGAUGGAGUUGAAGAAGUACAGGGACAAAUAAGCCAAG